UACGAAGGGGGCUAGCGUUGCUCGGAAUUACUGGGCGUAAAGGGCGCGUAGGCGGAUGUUUAAGUCAGAGGUGAAAGCCCAGGGCUCAACCUUGGAACUGCCUUUGAUACUGGACAUCUUGAGUAUGGGAGAGGUGAGUGGAAUUCCUAGUGUAGAGGUGAAAUUCGUAGAUAUUAGGAAGAACACCAGUGGCGAAGGCGGCUCACUGGUCCGGUACUGACGCUGAGGUGCGAAAGCGUGGGGAGCAAACAGG
rnacentral:rRNA from 1 species